CCUGCACCCUGAAUAUGUUCAUGAGUAUGGAAUCAUGUCAAACUCAAACACAUAUUCAUAUCAAUUCUCAAUUAAUCAAUGAUGACUCCAAUGAAAAAAUAUUAGAAACACUUUUUAAUCUCUUUUCUGCUUUUGGCUAAAAGACUUUUCUCAAGUCAUCUAGGAUUGAGAAAAUAUAGGAUGCAAUCUCCUCUUACUAGGAG
rnacentral:lncRNA from 1 species